AUGAACCAUAUCAGGGUGUGGCUGGUGCUGGGGCUCCGGGCGGCCGUGACCCUGCUGGAGUCCGGGGGGCACCUCCAGCCCCACGGGGGGUCCCUGCGCCUCCUCUGCCGAGGCUCCGGCUUCGAUUUUGGACGAACCAGUCUGAUGUGGAUUCGCCAAGGGCCUGGGAAGGGACUGGAAUACGUGGCAGGGAUGGACUACGAUGAUGGCACCACCAGAUACGCGCCCUCAAUCAGGGGCCGGUUCAGGAUCUCCAGGGACAACGGGCAGAGCUCGGUGACGCUGACCAUGAACAACCUCAAGGACGAGGAUUCCGGAUCCUAUUUCUGCGCCAAAUCUGCUGGUGCUAAUAGUGGGUAUGCUGCUGCUGAUGGUGAAGAUGCUCCUGGGAGAAUCACCCACAUCUCAGUGUCCCCACCUGUCCCCACAUCCUGGAUCGUUCCCCCAAACCUCAGCCCUUGA